GACGAACGCUGGCGGCGUGCUUAACACAUGCAAGUCGAGCGGAAAGGCCCUUCGGGGUACUCGAGCGGCGAACGGGUGAGCAACACGUGAGUAACCUGCCCCAGACUUUGGGAUAACCCUCGGAAACGGGGGCUAAUACCGGAUACGACACAGCUUCGCAUGGGGUCUGUGUGGAAAGUUUUUCGGUUUGGGAUGGGCUCGCGGCCUAUCAGCUUGUUGGUGGGGUGAUGGCCUACCAAGGCGACGACGGGUAGCCGGCCUGAGAGGGCGACCGGCCACACUGGGACUGAGACACGGCCCAGACUCCUACGGGAGGCAGCAGUGGGGAAUAUUGCACAAUGGGCGGAAGCCUGAUGCAGCGACGCCGCGUGAGGGAUGACGGCCUUCGGGUUGUAAACCUCUUUCAGCAGGGACGAAGCGUAAGUGACGGUACCUGCAGAAGAAGCGCCGGCCAACUACGUG
rnacentral:rRNA from 1 species